rnacentral:rRNA from 1 species
AUACGGGGGGUGCAAGCGUUAUUCGGAUUUAUUGGGCGUAAAGAGCGCGUAGGCGGCUUGGUAAGUCAGAUGUGAAAGCCCGGGGCUCAACCCCGGAAGUGCAUUUGAAACUAUCAGGCUUGAGUAUGGGAGAGGGAAGUGGAAUUCCUGGUGUAGAGGUGAAAUUCGUAGAUAUCAGGAGGAACACCGGUGGCGAAGGCGACUUCCUGGACCAAUACUGACGCUGAGGCGCGAAGGCGUGGGGAGCAAACAGGAUUAGAUACCCUAGUAGUCC